GCUGGGCGUGGUGGUGCAUGCCUAUAAUUCCAGUGGCUCAGGAGGCUGAGGCAGGAGGAUCACGAGUUCCAAGCCAGCCUCAGCAAAAGUGAGGCACUGAGCAACUCAGUGAGCCCCUGUCUCUA
rnacentral:sRNA from 1 species